rnacentral:tRNA from 1 species
UAGCUCAAUCGGUAGAGCGUGAGACUCUUAAUCUCAAGGUUGCGGGUUCGACCCNN